rnacentral:rRNA from 1 species
CACGUAGUUAGCCGGGGCUUCUUACUCAGGUACCGUCAUUUUCUUCCCUGCUGAUAGAGCUUUACAUACCGAAAUACUUCUUCACUCACGCGGCGUCGCUGCAUCAGGGUUUCCCCCAUUGUGCAAUAUUCCCCACUGCUGCCUCCCGUAGGAGUUUGGGCCGUGUCUCAGUCCCAAUGUGGCCGGUCAUCCUCUCAGAUCGGCUAUCGAUCGUCGCUUUGGUGGGCCGUUACCCCGCCAACUGGCUAAUCGAACGCGGGUCCAUCUCAUACCACCGGAGUUUUUACCCCUGCACCAUGCGGUGCUGUGGUCUUAUGCGGUAUUAACAGUCGUUUCCAACUGUUAUCCCCCUGUAUGAGGCAGGUUACCCACGCGUUACUCACCCGUCCGCCACUCGAAAUAAAGUCUUCCGCCCGAAGGUUUCCGUCCUCACUUCUCGUUCGACUUGCAUGUGUUAAGCACGCCGCCAGCGUUCAUCCUGAGCCAGGAUCAAACUCU